rnacentral:rRNA from 1 species
CUAAUACAUGCAAGUCGAACGAGUUCUGAUUAUUGAAAGGUGCUUGCAUCUUGAUUUAAUUUUGAACGAGUGGCGGACGGGUGAGUAACACGUGGGUAACCUGCCCUUAAGUGGGGGAUAACAUUUGGAAACAGAUGCUAAUACCGCAUAAAUCCAAGAACCGCAUGGUUCUUGGCUGAAAGAUGGCGUAAGCUAUCGCUUUUGGAUGGACCCGCGGCGUAUUAGCUAGUUGGUGAGGUAACGGCUCACCAAGGCAAUGAUACGUAGCCGAACUGAGAGGUUGAUCGGCCACAUUGGGACUGAGACACGGCCCAAACUCCUACGGGAGGCAGCAGUAGGGAAUCUUCCACAAUGGACGCAAGUCUGAUGGAGCAACGCCGCGUGAGUGAAGAAGGCUUUCGGGUCGUAAAACUCUGUUGUUGGAGAAGAAUGGUCGGCAGAGUAACUGUUGUCGGCGUGACGGUAUCCAACCAGAAAGCCACGGCUAACUACGUGCCAGCAGCCGCGGUAAUACGUAGGUGGCAAGCGUUAUCCGGAUUUAUUGGGCGUAAAGCGAGCGCAGGCGGUUUUUUAAGUCUGAUGUGAAAGCCCUCGGCUUAACCGAGGAAGUGCAUCGGAAACUGGGAAACUUGAGUGCAGAAGAGGACAGUGGAACUCCAUGUGUAGCGGUGAAAUGCGUAGAUAUAUGGAAGAACACCAGUGGCGAAGGCGGCUGUCUGGUCUGUAACUGACGCUGAGGCUCGAAAGCAUGGGUAGCGAACAGGAUUAGAUACCCUGGUAGUCCAUGCCGUAAACGAUGAAUGCUAGGUGUUGGAGGGUUUCCGCCCUUCAGUGCCGCAGCUAACGCAUUAAGCAUUCCGCCUGGGGAGUACGACCGCAAGGUUGAAACUCAAAGGAAUUGACGGGGGCCCGCACAAGCGGUGGAGCAUGUGGUUUAAUUCGAAGCAACGCGAAGAACCUUACCAGGUCUUGACAUCUUUUGAUCACCUGAGAGAUCAGGUUUCCCCUUCGGGGGCAAAAUGACAGGUGGUGCAUGGUUGUCGUCAGCUCGUGUCGUGAGAUGUUGGGUUAAGUCCCGCAACGAGCGCAACCCUUAUGACUAGUUGCCAGCAUUUAGUUGGGCACUCUAGUAAGACUGCCGGUGACAAACCGGAGGAAGGUGGGGAUGACGUCAAAUCAUCAUGCCCCUUAUGACCUGGGCUACACACGUGCUACAAUGGAUGGUACAACGAGUUGCGAGACCGCGAGGUCAAGCUAAUCUCUUAAAGCCAUUCUCAGUUCGGACUGUAGGCUGCAACUCGCCUACACGAAGUCGGAAUCGCUAGUAAUCGCGGAUCAGCACGCCGCGGUGAAUACGUUCCCGGGCCUUGUACACACCGCCCGUCACACCAUGAGAGUUUGUAACACCCGAAGCCGGUGGCGUAACCCUUUUAGGGAGCGAGCCGUCUAAGGUGGGACAAAUGAUUAGGGUGAAGU